rnacentral:rRNA from 1 species
GAUGAACGCUGGCGGCGUGCCUAAUACAUGCAAGUAGAACGCUGAAGCUCGGUGCUUGCACCGAGCGGAUGAGGCGCGCACGGGUGAGUAACGCGUAGGUAACCUGCCUCAUAGUGGGGGAUAACUAUGGGACACGAUAGCAAAUAGCGCAUAAAAGUCGAUAUCGCAUGAUAGUGAUGUGAAAGUCGCAAAUGCGUCACUAAGUGACGGACCUGCGUUGUUUUAGCUAGGUGGUGAGGUAACGGCUCACCAAGGCGACGUUACGUAGCCGCCCUGAGAGGGUGGUCGGCCACACUGGGAGUGUGACACGCCCCAGACUCCUUCGGGAGGCAGCAGUAGGGCUUCGUCGGCCAGGGGGGCAACCCUGACCGCGCUGCGCCGCGUGAGGGAAGAGGGUUGUCGGAUCGGAGAGCACUGUUGUAAGAGAAGAACGCGUGUGAGAGUGGAAAGUUCACACUGUGACGGUAACUGACCAGAAAGCAACGGCUAACUACGUG